UGAACUCUCAAAGUCUCUUUCCUUUGAUUAGGUCAGAGUGGUUUGGAUCUUGGGUGUUUGCAAGUCUCGGCUUGCUCACUUUAAAUGGAAUGUGGCAUUCACCUCUGAGGCUGCUGUCGGGUUUGACUUGGAGUGAUAGAAGUCUUUCGAGAUCUCUAGGGAACUGUCGUCUGACGGUGCCUGUCAUGGUGGGAGGGAGUGUCUGACAGACUCAUCUGACGU
rnacentral:misc_RNA from 1 species